GGAUGAGCCCGCGGCCUAUUAGCUAGUUGGUGAGGUAACGGCCCACCAAGGCUAUGAUGGGUAGCUGGUCUGAGAGGACGGACAGCCACACUGGGACUGAGACACGGUCCAGACUCCUACGGGGGGCAGCAGUGGGGAAUAUUGCGCAAUGGGCGAAAGCCUGACGGAGCAACGCCGUGUGAGGGAUGAAGUCUCUAGGGAUGUAAACCUCUGUUGGGAGGGACGAAGAUUUGACGGUACCUCCUGAGGAAGCCCCGGCUAACUACGUGCCAGCAGCCGCGGCCG
rnacentral:rRNA from 1 species